rnacentral:rRNA from 1 species
GUGGGGAAUAUUGCACAAUGGGGGAAACCCUGAUGCAGCGACGCGGAGUGAGUGAAGAAGUAUUUCGGUACGUAAAGCUCUAUCAGCAAGGAAGAAAAUGACGGUACUUGACUACGAAGCCCCGGCUAACUACGUGCCAGCAGCCGCGGUAAUACGUAGGGGGCAAGCGUUAUCCGGAUUUACUGGGUGUAAAGGGAGCGUAGACGUUAUGGUAAGUCAGAUGUGAAAGCCCGGGGCUCAAACCCGGGACUGCAUUUGAAACGAUCAGACUAGAGAGCAGGAGAGGUAAGUGGAAUUCCUAGUGUAGCGGUGAAAUGCGUAGAUAUUAGGAGGAACACCAGUGGCUAAGGCGGCUUACUGGACUGUAACUGACGUUGAGGCUCGAAAGCGUGGGGAGCAAACAGGAUUAGAUACCCCAGUAGUCC